rnacentral:rRNA from 1 species
UACGAAGGGUGCAAGCGUUGCUCGGAAUUAUUGGGCGUAAAGCGCACGUAGGCGGCUCCGCAAGUCGGAUGUGAAGUCCCUCGGCUCAACCAAGGAAGUGCAUCCGAAACUGCAGAGCUUGAGUACCAAAGAGGAUCGCGGAAUUCCCGGUGUAGAGGUGAAAUUCGUAGAUAUCGGGAGGAACACCAGUGGCGAAGGCGGCGAUCUGGGUGGAUACUGACGCUGAGGUGCGAAAGCGUGGGGAGCAAACAGG